rnacentral:rRNA from 1 species
UACGGAGGGUGCGAGCGUUGUCCGGAAUCACUGGGCGUAAAGGGCGCGUAGGCGGCGCGGCUCGUCGGCGGUGAAAGCCCGGAGCUCAACUCCGGGUCGGCCGUCGAUACUUCCGGGCUUGAGCACUGUAGAGGCAGAUGGAAUUCCGGGUGUAGCGGUGGAAUGCGUAGAGAUCCGGAAGAACACCGGUGGCGAAGGCGGUCUGCUGGGCAGUUGCUGACGCUGAUGCGCGACAGCGUGGGGAGCAAACAGG